CCUCAGCUAGCCACCACUGAGCUCAGAGCUGCGCCGUGGAGAAGCUGAACAACGCACAUUGAGGGCAGCGCAAGGAUUGGACUGGGUGAAUGCAGUCCACAACAGGGACGAUUACUGCACAAUCUUCCACCAUUUUUUGGGAGACAAGAGAGGACACCCACAGAAACCUUCACCGUGACGGGGAAUAGGUAGCUUGUCUUGGAAUGUGUCUUUCGGAUGGGAUUUGUUAGAGGGGGGAAUUUCGUUUCAUACCAGCAUAGAAGUUAGCUUGCUUCGCCAAUUCUUGACUUACAUUUUUGGGGGUUGCUUUCUCAGUGUGAGUGCAUAUCUCUAAAUUGGUACAAUAUUUAUUAUUUUGAAAGGAAAUAGAAAACAAACAAGACGAGUGCGUAGCCUACACAAAAUAUAUCUGACACGGAGUUGAACGUCACUACCAUGGAGAACGCUCAUGAAAAAAGUGUUGAAGAAGUUUAUAGCUAUUUCAAUGUCAACGAAAGCACGGGGCUUGGCUUGGACCAAGUAAAACGACAAAGGGAGAAAUGGGGCACAAACGAGUUACCUGCUGAGGAAGGAAAGUCCUUAUGGGAACUUGUUGUUGAACAGUUUGAAGAUUUACUUGUGCGAAUUCUUCUGUUGGCGGCCUGUAUAUCUUUUGUCUUGGCCUGGUUUGAGGAUGGGGAAGAAACAAUCACAGCUUUUGUGGAGCCUUUCGUGAUCUUACUCAUUCUCAUAGCCAACGCCAUCGUAGGUGUUUGGCAGGAGCGUAAUGCUGAGGAUGCCAUCGAGGCACUUAAAGAGUAUGAGCCUGAGAUGGGGAAGGUGUACCGCCAGGACAGGAAGACUGUCCAGAGGAUCAAGGCCAAAGACAUCGUGCCUGGAGACAUUGUGGAGGUUGCUGUUGGAGACAAGGUUCCUGCAGACAUCCGUCUCUCUUCAAUCAAGUCUACAACCCUGAGGGUGGACCAGUCCAUCCUGACCGGCGAGUCUGUCUCUGUGAUCAAGCACACUGACCCCGUUCCUGACCCCCGCGCUGUCAACCAAGACAAGAAGAACAUGCUGUUCUCUGGGACCAACAUCGCCGCCGGAAAGGCUAUCGGCGUGGUGGUGGCCACCGGCGUCAACACGGAGAUCGGUAAGAUCCGCGACGAGAUGGCGGCCACGGAGCAGGAGAAGACUCCACUGCAGGCCAAGCUGGACGAGUUCGGGGAGCAGCUGUCCAAGGUCAUCUCCCUGAUCUGCGUGGCCGUGUGGAUCAUCAACAUCGGCCACUUCAACGACCCCGUCCACGGGGGCUCCUGGGUGCGCGGCGCCGUCUACUACUUCAAGAUCGCCGUGGCGCUGGCCGUGGCUGCCAUCCCAGAGGGCCUGCCUGCCGUCAUCACCACCUGCCUGGCCCUGGGCACGCGCCGCAUGGCCAAGAAGAACGCCAUCGUCAGGUCCCUGCCCUCCGUGGAGACCCUGGGCUGCACCUCGGUCAUCUGCUCCGACAAGACGGGCACCCUCACCACCAACCAGAUGUCUGUGUGCAGGAUGUUCAUUGUUGACAAAGUUGAAGCAGAAAGCUGCUCUCUGGGGGAGUUUACCAUCACUGGCUCAACGUAUGCCCCUGAAGGAGAAGUGUAUCAGGAUGGUAAUCUCGUGAAGAGUUCUCAGUUUGAUGGUCUGGUAGAGAUCGCCACCAUCUGUGCCCUGUGCAACGACUCCUCUCUGGACUUCAACGAGGCCAAAGGGGUGUUUGAGAAGGUCGGAGAGGCCACGGAGACCGCCCUCACCUGCUUGGUGGAGAAGAUGAACGCGUUUGACACUGAGGUCAAGCACCUCCCCAACAUCGAGAGGGCCAACGCCUGCAACUCUGUGAUCAAGCAGCUGAUGAAGAAGGAGUUCACCCUGGAGUUCUCCCGAGACAGGAAGUCCAUGUCGGUGUACUGUACCCCCAACAAGGCCCGGUCUUCUAUUGGCAAAAUGUUUGUCAAGGGUGCCCCAGAGGGAGUGAUUGACCGGUGUACCCAUGUCCGAGUGGGCAACAACAAGGUUCCCAUGACCCCGGGGGUCAAGGACAAGAUCCUGUCUGUGAUCCGGGAUUACGGGACUGGGCGUGACACCCUGCGCUGCCUGGCUCUGGCCACCAGGGACACUCCCCCUAAGAAGGAAGACAUGGUUCUCAUCGAUGCAGCCCGCUUCGCAGCCUAUGAGUCGGACUUGACCUUCGUGGGCUGCGUGGGCAUGCUGGACCCUCCCCGACAGGAGGUGGCGGCCUCCAUCAAGCUGUGCCGCCUGGCCGGCAUCCGUGUCAUCAUGAUCACCGGGGACAACAAGGGCACGGCCGUGGCCAUCUGCCGGCGCAUCGGCAUCCUGGGCGAGGACGACGACGUGGAGCGCAUGGCCUUCACCGGCCGCGAGUUCGACGACCUCUCCCCCGCCGCGCAGCGCGACGCCGUCAUCAACGCCCGCUGCUUCGCCCGCGUCGAGCCCUCCCACAAGUCCAAGAUUGUCGAGUUCCUGCAGAGCAUGGACGAGAUCACGGCCAUGACUGGAGACGGAGUCAACGAUGCCCCCGCCCUGAAGAAGGCGGAGAUCGGCAUUGCCAUGGGCUCUGGCACCGCCGUGGCCAAGUCGGCCUCUGAGAUGGUCCUGGCUGACGACAACUUCUCCUCCAUCGUGGCGGCUGUAGAGGAGGGCAGGGCCAUCUACAACAACAUGAAGCAGUUCAUCCGCUAUCUUAUCUCCUCCAACGUGGGCGAGGUGGUCUGUAUCUUCCUGACUGCUGCUCUGGGAUUCCCCGAGGCUCUGAUCCCAGUCCAGCUGCUGUGGGUCAACCUGGUGACGGACGGCCUCCCCGCCACCGCCCUGGGCUUCAACCCCCCCGACCUGGACAUCAUGAACAAGCCCCCCCGCAACGCCAAGGAGCCCCUCAUCUCCGGCUGGCUCUUCUUCAGAUACCUGGCCAUCGGAUGCUAUGUCGGAGCCGGGACUGUGGGAGCCGCGGCAUGGUGGUUCGUGGCUGCUGAAGACGGCCCCAUGAUCAGCCUGUACCAGCUGAGCCACUUCCUGCAGUGCUCCCCUGACAACCCGGACUUCCAGGACCUGGAGUGCCACGUGUUCGAGUCCCCGUACCCCAUGACCAUGGCCCUGUCGGUGCUCGUCACCAUCGAGAUGUGCAACGCUCUGAACAGUCUGUCAGAGAACCAGUCCCUGCUGCGUAUGCCUCCCUGGGACAAUGUGUGGCUGCUGGGGGCCAUCUGCCUCUCCAUGUCCCUCCACUUCCUCAUCCUCUAUGUGGAGCCCCUGCCCGUCAUCUUCCAGAUCACCCCUCUGAACCUCACGCAGUGGCUGAUGGUGCUGAAGAUCUCUCUGCCCGUCAUCCUUUUGGAUGAGCUGCUCAAGUUUGUGGCCAGGAACUACCUGGAACCUGGUAAACACCUGGAGAAGUCAGCCAGCAAGGGCUGCUCCCUGUCCGCAUGCACAGAGGGGAUCUCCUGGCCCUUUGUGGCCAUCUUCCUCCCCCUGGUUCUGUGGCUGUACAGCAUCGACACUAACGUGUCCGAGUUGUUCUGGUCCUGACUGACUCCAAGCACACUCCCCCUCCCCCCGGGCACCAGUGUGAGUGGAGAUUAAUACAUCUAACAACCCCACAUUAACCAGGAACAACAACUACUACUACUACAACGACAACCACAACCGCCUGGUCAAACAGUGAGAGCUCAGCAUUUACACGUGUAUGUCAACACCCUUGGCUGAUUUGGAUCAAGGACAUUUUCACCAUUCCAUUUUUUACAUUUUUUUAUUCAUCCUUUUUGUUGAUGAACAUACUUUUUAAUGACCUUGAGUUAUGUCAUUUGUCUUUUUUCAUAUCAAGCCUUAGUUAUGUGCCCCCGGUUUUUUGAACAGGCAUAGAAUUGUAGGAACUGUCAGAUGAUAUGUACAGAGAAUGAACACUAUUUUAUCAACUUUUUGUAAUUUGGGGAGGGGAUUUGUGGAGAGCAGGUAGGCUACAAGUGGCAUGCACUGGACUCAAAUGUAUUACUCUUGUCUUCAGUGUGAACCUUUAAUAUAUGGCCUUUGGAUGAGAAAGGGGUGUAACUGUAAUGACCAUUCAACAUUUGCUCUGACUCAGUGGUCUGUACUAAAAGUGCAUGUGUUUUGUGAUGGCAUGGGGAUUCUUCUUGGUUGAUAGUUGUUCCUCCCCCUGUUAUAAGCUCCAUAUCUGGUUUGCUUUUGGUUUCUGCGCUAGGCCGAGCACAGCUACCUCAAUGCUGUUGAUAUGACCACAUUACUUUUCAUGUUUUCCACUAACCCUUUUCACGUUCUAAGACAUGUCAUAUUAAGUGUUGAGGUAAGCACCAUUUUUGCUUUUGUUGAAGGAGAAGUAGGUUCUCAUCUACCUUUUGUAAGGUUUUCUAAGUUGAAAUUGAGGUUGACCUUUUUAUGUUCCCUGAGGGAAGUAGGGAAAGAAACAUGUAAAUGUUACUUUAGUCUAAUUCUACACCAUUUUUGAUAGACAAGCCUGUCGUUAAAACGUUUACUUGAACACAACACACUCUGUCAUUAUUCCAAUAUUAAAACGUUUACUUUUUUAGCUAGUCUUCAUGUACAUUACAAAUAACAAUGAUUCUUAUAUAGAUUAUGUAUAUUGUGCACAUACUGUACUUGAAUAUAAACACAGAGACGCUGAUAAUAAUAGUAUCAGCUGAGCACAAGAUUGAGGCUUUGAUGGGAUCAUGAUGUGGUCUAGACUUGCUGUUAGGAUGUAUGACCAUGUUAUAGGCCUAACUCGGACUGGCUGGUGGAAGAGUAUGUAAAUCUGUAUAUAGCACAGUAGUAUCUAUAUGUAUAGGGUUUCACAUUUCCGAAUGCUCCAUACCGUCACACUAGUUGACUCGAGCCGUGUUUUUAGAAACACUGCAGUAGGUAGGUAUACCUGGAAAGCAUGCCCUCCAAUGCCAGGCCAGUAUGAGUUCCUCUAAACCUAACUGCUAUUUCUUCCAAUGCCUUCCGCCUGUUUAUCAGACUGGGGCUGUGUAAGCCCCGCCCACUCCUCUAAACCCCUUGCAGGAACUGUAAGGUUUUGUUUUAGUGUUGUGCAUGUGUGUUUCGAGAAGCUCCACAUCUUCCAAGACUUGCAUGUCAAAAUAAGAACUCAAAUCAAGACAUGAUUCAUACAUUUAAUAUGUACAUCAAUUCUUUUUCUUUUUUUUUUUAUUCUAAAAUAUAUCUAAUUUAAAUGGGUUCUAAUUAAAAUGUUUUUGGACUCCAGUGAACUAACCCCAUGUCCUCAGUCCCUCCAUGGUCUUGCAUGAAGAGCUUUAGUAUAGCCGUCUGUCUAGAAAAGGUGACAAUUCUCGUGCCAUCUCAGAAACCUAGACUUCAUCGUUUAGUAAUGUAUAAUAUUCCAUGGUGCAUGUCAUCUGAAGCAGCCAUUUAUUUUAACAGAUUUGUGUAAUAGUUCUGUAUAGUAUUGGUAAAUUAAAAUUUAAAGAAUCUACAAAUAGUGCAAAUGUUAAAUAAAGCUCAGAAAGCUGUGUCUUUUCCUAAGGAAAUACUUUUUGAAUUGAAUGUGUAAAAAAAUUACCAAACGAGACUUUUUGCUUUGCACUGUGAUGUGCGACAUGUUGUAAGCAGACUUUGUGGCGUCUGGUUAGGAGGUGCAGCGAUAGUGAUGCAUACCCUGAGGAAAUCAGACAGUCCUUCAAUGGCAUGGUUUUGCCAAACAACUGUACUGUAAUUUCAGAGCUGACGAUUGUAUUACGUAUCACAACUUGUGGUUUCAGGUAAAUAAAGCGAUUAUACAUUAAAUGUCCUGUUUUUCUGAUGA